CUGGUCUCGUCUUGGAACUACAGAGGACAUUUGCAAGCCAACAACCUGAACUCCUGCACCAGGCUACCCAACAGAGUUGGCUAGGCAUUGGCGAUUUUCCAAACGUGAUGGAAAACGAGGGACACGAAUUGAUUACUUACCAGGAAUCUCUUUGUGCAUUGCAGGAUGAAACCAUAGCCCUUUUUUGCCAGCAAUACCGACGAUGCAUACGUCACUCACUGCAAAGUAUAUGAAGGAAGAGACCAAUAUGUUGUUCGGCGACAACGGCUUUCAUUUUCUUUGCAUAUUGAAUAAUAUGCGAAAAUAUACAUGUUCCGCUACAACUUAAAGCUGAAUUUCAUGAUUUUCUAGCUGUUGGUUGAUCUCUAAUAAGAGUGAUGUAUUGCCUUUCUUGAA